rnacentral:rRNA from 1 species
AUUGAACGCUGGCGGCAGGCCUAACACAUGCAAGUCGAACGGUAGCACAGAGAGCUUGCUCUCGGGUGACGAGUGGCGGACGGGUGAGUAAUGUCUGGGAAACUGCCCGAUGGAGGGGGAUAACUACUGGAAACGGUAGCUAAUACCGCAUAACGUCGCAAGACCAAAGAGGGGGACCUUCGGGCCUCUUGCCAUCGGAUGUGCCCAGAUGGGAUUAGCUUGUAGGUGAGGUAACGGCUCACCUAGGCGACGAUCCCUAGCUGGUCUGAGAGGAUGACCAGCCACACUGGAACUGAGACACGGUCCAGACUCCUACGGGAGGCAGCAGUGGGGAAUAUUGCACAAUGGGCGCAAGCCUGAUGCAGCCAUGCCGCGUGUAUGAAGAAGGCCUUCGGGUUGUAAAGCACUUUCAGCGAGGAGGAAGGCCAAUAACUUAAUACGUUGUUGGAUUGACGUUACUCGCAGAAGAAGCACCGGCUAACUCCGUGCCAGCAGCCGCCGUAAAAC